CAAAAAACAUUUGGUCAAUUUUGAAAAUACAGUUACAUGUUUAAAAGCACAUCUGAUAUUUUUACUGUUUUAUGUAUGAAUUCAAACAAUUAUUUGUGUUUUAUAUCGAGAAUUACUUCAGCUGCCAUGAAAAAGAAAAUAUUGUGAGAUGCUUUGGAACAUUCUUGGGACAAUUGUAUAUUUGGUGAAAUACAACAGAAAGGACAUUUCAUUAAUUGGAUAAAAUGGAUUCAGUGAACUGAUCAGUACAAAAACCUAUGUUGAAAAGCAUAUAAAAGUAGCCAUGGUAGCAGCUCCAAGGAAGAUGGUUAAAUAAAUCUUCAACCAAGUCUGAGGCUUUACCAAGAAAAUAAGAAGGCAAGUUUAAAUAAGCCAAAAAUUUCUAUACAUGCUAUCGGUAAUUUGAUUAAAAUAGAAGGCAAGUUUAAAUAAGUCAAAAAUUUCUAUACAUGCUAUCAGUAAUUUGAUUAAAAUGUAUAUUUAGGGCAUAUAAUAGAGUUACAGUGGAGAUAAUGAUGUUGCUAAUGUAAAAUGAUAUUUUUGCAAUUCAAUGGGAGAUAACUCAUAAUUUACCUUUAUGAACAAUGGAAUAUAUUUAAAUCAUUAUUUUUGUGGAGUUGGAAAUUCAAAUAAUAAACUUAUAAGACUUAUUUUUUUUUUUUAAUCUUUUAUAUUGAUUUUUCAGUUAUUUAGGUUAUAGUAAGAAAUCGGAACAAUAUUUUGUUAAUGUCAGGGAAAUUGAAAUGUAACUUAUAUAAAUUGGCAAUUUUUAUAUUUUAGGUUCUUUCUGUGAGAUGUUUUCUGGUGUGGGAAUAAGACUUGGUGGUCUGAUAAAGCUAAUAUAUAGGUAUGUACCAGUACUGUUUUGAAAAGAAAUAAAUUAUCAAUGUAUUAUAAAAAUACAUAAAGUACAUGUUUUUUACUCUCUUGGCCUUGAAAUAUUCAAACAUUUAAUUUCUGUAAUUAAUUUCUACUCACUUUUUAUAUGAGUACAAAUACAAUGUAUAUGUGUAAAUCAAGGGCAUACGAUACAGUUUUGAUCCCGUAUUUACAGUUUGAUGAAAAUUUCCAUAUAGGCUAUUUUUUGCCUGAUUAAAUCAAAUAUGUAAUAAAAAAUAUACCUUCAUGUGCUACUUUUUGAGUUAAAUGAAAUCGAAAUUUUGUAUAUUUGCUCAAUUUUCAGAUUUGUGGUCGUAUUUUCCCUUUCGAAAGAAAGCCAUAACUUUUUUGUUUUAAAAGAUAAACACAAAUUGUUUUUUGUUAAAUAAUUUGUAAUUUCUGUAUUUUAUAAGUAUCCUAAAAAAUUAUGCAUUUUUUAUUCAGAAAUAACUCAUAGUUAUCAAAUGGUCAUGAAUUGAGAAAAAAAACGUAAUUUUUUGCUGUAUAAUUAUCAAAAUUAAAAAAAUUGCACUAUUUACAGUUUUAUAAAAUUUGGUCCACAUAAUCUCCCUGCAAAAUGAAUCAAAAUGUCGUUUUAAAAAUAGGGGUCCAUGCACUCGUUUUCAAAUUAAAUCAGUUUGAAUGAUAAAAAUCAGUCGAAAAAUGCAUCUUUUCCCGAUAUGUCAUAGUUUGACGUCGCGAAAAUAACAUUUUACGUUAGCAACGUCAUUAGUUGGAUUGCUCUCUCGUCUGUUCUCAACAUCUAUUACAUGAAUAUGACCCAUUUCUUUAUAAUUUUCAUACAUUAACAGUGAUCCUUUCAAAAUAAUUUGGUUAACUAAGCAUUUUAUGUUCUUUUAAAUUUCAGCUUAGCAUCACUGAGCUUGUCUGUAAGGAUUGAAGCUGGGAGUGGGCAAUGGAGCUGACUUUUAUGGUAAGAACCAAUACAAAAAUUAAUGAAUUAUUCAGCCAAGAGCAUGUAAAUACCAUAGAAUAUUAUUAUGCAAAGAAGUUUUAUAUUUUGAUUAUGCAUAGAAGUAUUAUAUUUAAACUGUGUAGAGAAGUGUUAUAUUUUAAUUUUUCUAAAACUAUAUCUGUAUAUAUAAUCAAAUCAGAAAACAAAAAAAAUCAUUUCUUAAUAGGAAAGGUGGUAACAAGAUAAAUAAACGAAAUCAAAAAUUAUGCUGUAACUUAAAAAAAAUCUUUCAAUCUGUUUUACGAUAUCUAAAAUUGUCCCUGUAAAUUAAGUAAAUGAGAUGUGGCUUAAUUGCUAAUGAAAUAAAGAUUUCCCAGAGACCAAAUGACAUGGAUGCAUUCUUCUAAUAGUCACUGUAUGACCUUCAACAAUGAGCAAAACCUAUACCUUACAUAUAACUAUGAAAGUCUACAACAUGACAAAAUGUGAAACAAUUCAAACAAGAAAACCAAUAGCUUGUGAUUUAUGAUGAAACAAUGAAAUAAUAAAAAAAAUCCCUUGUUUGCAAAGGAAGACUGGUUGAUUGUAAAUUCAUGUCUACACAUCACUUCAAAAUAAUGGUAAAAGCAAUGUUCUAUGCAUCAUAAGUGCAAUUGCCAGUUACAUGUACUUGUUUCUUUGCAUUGAAUAUUGUUCUGACAGAUAUUAGAAUGUAUAUUUCUUUUUCAGGUGACUUCAACUGUGGCUGCAGGAAAUUAUUGUGCAAUUCAACUGAAACAAAAAAGAAUGUAAUUCAGACUAUUUUUGUGUAUGUUUAAAAAAAAAUUGUAAAGAUUCUCCAUUUUCAACAAAGCUGGAAGUUGUAGGCUAAAUUGAUACUUCAUAAUUUUACUUUAUUACUUAUAGACCUAC
rnacentral:lncRNA from 1 species